rnacentral:rRNA from 1 species
UGAGUACAAGAUGCUACGGCAUUGAAGCAGUCUAUGUCAUACUUCCAAGAAAAGCUUGCAAUGUCAUAAACAAAUAAUGCCUGUACCAUAACCGACACAGGUGGGUAGGUAGAGUAUACUAAGGGGCGCGAGAUAACUCUCUCUAAGGAACUCGGCAAAAUGACUCCGUAACUUCGGGAGAAGGAGUACCUUAUUUUAUAAGGUUGCAAUAACAAGGUCCAAGCAACUGUUUACCAAAAACACAGGUCUCCGCUAAGUCGUAAGACGAUGUAUGGGGGCUGACGCCUGCCCAGUGCCAGAAGGUUAAAGAAGUUGGUUAGCAUUAGCGAAGCUGAUAACUGAAGCCCUGGUGAACGGCGGCCGUAACAAUAACGGUCCUAAGGUAGCGAAAUUCCUUGUCGGGUAAGUUCCGACCCGCACGAAAGGCGUAAUGAUUUGGAUACUGUCUCGGAGAGGGGCUCGGUGAAAUAGACUUGUCUGUGAAGAUGCGGACUACCUGCACCUGGACAGAAAGACCCUAUGAAGCUUUACUGUAACUUGAGAUUGAAAUUGGACUUUAUUUGCGCAGUAUAGGUGGGAGACCUCGAAAGUAUUCUUGCGGGAAUAUUGGAGUCAUCAGUGAGAUACCACUCUUAUAAUGUUAGAUUUCUAACUUUGUAUCAUUAUCUGGUCAAAGAACAGUUUCAGGCGGGCAGUUUGACUGGGGCGGUCGCCUCCCAAAUGGUAACGGAGGCGCACAAAGGUUUCCUCUGAACGUGUAGAGAUCGUAUCUAGAGUGUAAAGGCAUAAGGAAGCUUGACUGUGAGACCUACAAGUCGAGCAGGGACGAAAGUCGGUCUUAGUGAUCUGACGGUGCUGAGUGGAAAGGCCGUCACUCAACGGAUAAAAGUUACUCUAGGAUAACAGGCUGAUCUCCCCCAAGAGUUCACAUCGACGGGGAGGUUUGGCACCUGGAUGUCGGCUCAUCGCAUCCUGGGGCGGUAGUACGUCCCAAGGGUUGGGCUGUUCGCCCAUGAAAGCGGUACGCGAGCUGGGUUCAGAACGUCGUGAGACAGUUCGGUCCAUAUCCGGUGUAGGCGUUAGAAUAUUGAGAGGAGCCUUCUUUAGUACGAGAGGACCGAGAAGGACAUACCUCUGGUGUACCAGUUAUCGUGCCAACGGUAAACGCUGGGUAGCUAUGUAUGGAGAGGAUAACCGCUGAAAGCAUCUAAGUGGGAAGCCCACCUCAAGAUAAGUAUUCUC